rnacentral:piRNA from 1 species
GAAGCCGAAGACGACUUC